rnacentral:pre_miRNA from 1 species
CAACCUCUGCAGGCUGGCUGGUCCCCAAGCCAGGCUGGGUGAGUAGCUCUUCCAAAGGUUCACCCUCCAACACAACCAGGAGC